AGGCUACUUAAUGCUGUUUUCUAAUCAAACUCAGCCAUCCUGCUGACUGUAAGAUGAAGCUAUACUAAAGGAUGGGGAGGCAUGUCUCAUAUUGGGUUCUUUGGGGCUGGGGGUGAGAGAUCCAGUGUUUUUAAAAAUAGACCAUGACUUCCACUUGUUCAUUUUGUCUACCUGUUUGCUAUCAACUUCUAGGGGAGCUUCCAAGGGUCAGGUUAAAAAAGAAAAGUUGUACUCUUUCAGUUGUGGGGCUUUCUUUGAAUGAAAACAGAAGUUUUCUAAUGAAUGUGGAAAAUGUGCAAUGUAUGGGUUUGCUCAGUGCCUAGUCUUCUUCUGAUAGAGGUGGACUAGCUCUAUCUGUCCUCAAAUUUCUUACUGAGAAUUCAGGUCAAAUGCUUCCUGAGAUCUAAGUUGAUGUGAUACAUUUUGCAAAGCAUGUGCUUCAAUUACUGUGAUACACCCCCAGCUGGAGGCUCCUCCCUAAAGAAAGGCAGCUGCCUUCAUUUCCAGCACCCUGGGAUGUCAAGGCAAUGCACUGAAGUAAUAACUUAUUCAUUGAAACCAGAAGAAAUGACAGAGAAAUUGAAGCUUCCCCAAACAUGUAACUUAUAUCCAAGGAAAAGUCAGUCUUAGAAGAAUCAGGUGCACUAAUAGUUCAUAAUUGAUCUUUAUUUUGGCAGAUUUUAUAUUAAAAUGAUGUUACUACUACUGAUGACCAUCAUCGUAGUUACGUAAUUAUUUUAGCAUUUAGCAUAAUGCAUGAUACAUUGCAUUACGUAGCACCUUUUAAACUAAGGAUCUCAAAAUAUUUAGCAAAUGCAAUUUGCUCUCACAGCACUUGUGAGGUAGGUGUUUUUUUCCAGCCAUUUGUAAAUGAGCAUAUUGAAGCACAGCAAGGUUAAGGUGUCUGCUCACAAGAUGCAGUAAGUAUGAUGGCAUCAAUAGGACCUGAACCCGGGCUUCCCCACCCUUCCUUCCCAUGAACCUCAACCACAGAGCUUCCAGAACACUCCUAACAGCAUUGCUGCUAGACGUACUUGGAUAUUUCAGAUGUUAGAGAGAAUUACAUCUAUUGGCUGUAGGGCUAAAUCAUUCGAUAACAUUGGUACCCAUUAAAAGAGUUUCUCACGUGCUUUGCAAAUGUGUGGGAGGGGCAUCUUAUACCACUGCUAAGCUUAUGUUAAUUAUAAUGCAUAUUUAAAUUUGUAUUUUCUCUGUGUGAUUUAUUGUUCUUCUGGCCUCCUACCAACUUAUUUCUACACAUAUGCCUGCCUGAGCCAGAAAAUGUAAAAUGCGCUUAGCGACAUGGCACGGAGGGAAGCAGGUGAGAUUACAUUUGGCAAAGUCUCCUUGGAGGCACCAAGUAAUGUUUGUUCUGAAAGAGCAAAA